GACGAACGCUGGCGGCGUGCUUAACACAUGCAAGUCGAACGGAAAGGCCCUGCUUUUGUGGGGUGCUCGAGUGGCGAACGGGUGAGUAACACGUGAGUAACCUGCCCUUGACUUUGGGAUAACUUCAGGAAACUGGGGCUAAUACCGGAUAGGAGCUCCUGCUGCAUGGUGGGGGUUGGAAAGUUUCGGCGGUUGGGGAUGGACUCGCGGCUUAUCAGCUUGUUGGUGGGGUAGUGGCUUACCAAGGCUUUGACGGGUAGCCGGCCUGGGAGGGUGACCGGCCACAUUGGGACUGAGAGACGGCGCAGACGCCUACGGGAGGCAGCAGUGGGGAAUAUUGCACAAUGGGCGGAAGCCUGAUGCAGCAACGCCGCGGGCGGGAUGACGGCCUUCGGGUUGUAAACCGCUUUCGCCUGUGACGAAGCGUGAGUGACGGUAAUGGGUAAAGAAGCACCGGCUAACUACGUG
rnacentral:rRNA from 1 species